GCGUGGCCUCUCCGCGGGCCCGGGGGCUCCGAGGCCGGGGCGAGGCCCGGUGAGACCCGCGCGCGGCCGGAGCGGGUGGAGGCCCGCCUGGGAGGUGGGGAGUGGGGGAGGGGGGAGGGAGGAAGGAGGAGGAGGAGGAGGAGGGGACAACUUCUUGUCCCUUAUUAAGUCACCUGGGAGGGCGACUGAUCCGUGUCCUUUGUACAGAACCGCGGGAGAAAACGGAGGCUCAAACGGAGGCCGGCGGGGGUCGAGGCUGGACGGUGUGGGGUGGGGGAGGCAGUUCUGCCACGAGGACAAUUUUUUUUGGGGGUGGGAGUGUGACUUAAGACAGGUGCGGAGUCCUUGAGGAAGGGUCCCCAACGCCACCAGCCUUUAGCCUCGAAUCCCUGGCGGCAGGGUAGAGGCCCAAAGAGGAGGCCCAGCCUCCUCCGGGAGUGGAGGCUUGAGGGCGCGCGCAGGUAAAGCGAGGGGGGCCUGGUUUUUGGGGGGACGCUUGGGGACCCUCCUGUCUGCUCGCGACACUAACGGGGGGGCCUCACCGGGGAACCCCCCCCACCACCUCCUCUCCGCCAUCCCGGAGGUCCUCGGGCCUCUACCCCGCGGGAGAAGAGGCUGCCGGAGGUUCACUGGGCUGGGGGUGACAAGAGGAGGGCCACCAGGCCUCCGCGGGUCACCUCCCCGCAGAAUCGCGCGCGCCCCGAUGUCCCUUGCGCUCCCCGUUGUCUCUCCGCAACUUCCCCACCUUUAGCGUCCGAUUCUUGUGCCGCGCGCGCAAAUUCCUGACGUCUCCCGGCUGUGUGUUUUGGAGUCUCCUGUUUUUCGGGGCCUCUCCCGAAGCCACCGCAGCGCGGCUCGGGGACAAGGACAGGACCGGGCCCCCGCCGCUGGAGCGCGGACGCCCGGGUGACCCGGACGCGGGGAGGAAGAUCGGGACGCCUGGAGGCCACAGCGGAACCUCCCGGGCCUCCUCCGCUGAGUCGCGCUGGAGGUCGCAGGGUCUUCUCAUCAAGCCUCCCUCCUCGGCGACCCUGCCACUGCGACCUCCACCCCCUCCGAAAAGCCAUCGAUCCCUCUCGACACCCGGCCGCCACCGUGGAACCCAGAGACGCGCGACAAGUUGUAAAUAAACCCGUUUUUUUCUUUCGUCGUUAGAAAAAAACGCAAUUCGUUUGCAAUUUGUCAACCCGCCUGGGGGGAAAAAAAAACGCUCUCUACCGGGCCUACCUGGUUUUCUCUCCGCAAAUCCUGGCUCACGGGGCCCGCGUAGACGCGGACGUUCCCGAAUCCCGGGUUGGUGAGGGGGCAGAGGGGGGGAACGAAGGCGUUUUUUUUUUGUUUUUUUGCGGGUUUUUUGUUGUUGUUGUUAUUUUGCGUUUUUUGGUUGUUUUUUUUUUUUUGCUUUUUUCCAAAACAACGAAUUUCCUUCCUCGUUUUCCGGUCAAGGAGAGGUGAGGACGGCCACACCCCAAGCAAAGGGGGCCCUGAGCGCCGAGCCUUUUCCCCUCUCCUUCUCUGUCUCGUUGUGAGUUCGAGGCUGGCCACCGCGCAAUGAAAGAUUCCAAACGGCCCGGGUUUGAUUGAACACGGAUCCGGGCGCUGUUGUCCGCGUCUACGCGGGGAACCGAGAGGCUGCAGCCUCCCCAUUCUUAUGGAAAUGCCACUAAACGGAUUGUGACUCGAGUUUGGGGGCCGCUGGGGGAUGCAAGGGGGGAAACU
ensembl:lincRNA